rnacentral:rRNA from 1 species
CGAACGGGUGAGUAAUACAUCGGAACGUGCCCGAUCGUGGGGGAUAACGGAGCGAAAGCUUUGCUAAUACCGCAUACGAUCUACGGAUGAAAGCGGGGGAUCUUCGGACCUCGCGCGGACGGAGCGGCCGAUGGCAGAUUAGGUAGUUGGUGGGAUAAAAGCUUACCAAGCCGACGAUCUGUAGCUGGUCUGAGAGGAUGAUCAGCCACACUGGGACUGAGACACGGCCCAGACUCCUACGGGAGGCAGCAGUGGGGAAUUUUGGACAAUGGGGGCAACCCUGAUCCAGCCAUGCCGCGUGCAGGAUGAAGGCCUUCGGGUUGUAAACUGCUUUUGUACGGAACGAAAAGACUCUGGUUAAUACCUGGGGUUCAUGACGGUACCGUAAGAAUAAGCACCGGCUAACUACGUGCCAGCAGCCGCGGUAAUACGUAGGGUGCAAGCGUUAAUCGGA